CUGCAAUCUUUGUGAAAGGGGCUGCUGUGUGAAAGACGUAGGAAAGAUUUCUGCUUGUUUUUCCACUAGUGAAAGGAGGAAAAGUGCCUGGAGCAAUGGAGGGAGAGAAAAAAGGCCCCUCUCCUGAACACUCAUCUGGCUGUUAAAGUGAGACCACCCUUGUUAUAUUUGCAGACUAGGGCCCCAUCAGGCGACCUCUUGUUUGGGCCUUACAAAAGAAAAGAAAUCUAUGUGGGUUUAGUUAUUAUACACUUUUGUUGAUUCAGAAAGAAUAUCGGGUUUCAAACAUUCAUUGGGGAAAAGGCGAACAACUCUGCAAAUGGCGAUGGAGUUGGGGUGAGAUGACCUGACAAAAGGUCCUACAGUGCUGGCUUUAGAGGGAGGGCAGCUGCCUGGGCCCCACACUUCUGGGCCCCUCCAGAAUCUUGUACAAAAUCCUGCCUGCCUCCUUUAAAGUCAAGUCAGUCGCCAUUAACUCAGCAACAUUGCCAGCAAGCAAGUCCCUCAUUGGUUAUUAUUUAUUAAAUUGGUAUGACACCCUUCAUCCGUAGAUCUUGGGGGAAACCUAGGCAUUGGGCUUCUCCUCCAGGCCCAUCCACACAAGCCCAUACACAAGAUCCUUGACUGGGAGCUGUCCUGCCCAUGCCCAGUUGCCCAAUUGUCCAUUUCUCCCAGGACACAAGUAGGGAGGAGGCAGCCAUCUUGUUUCACAAUGAAAUCUCAGCAGAGCAAAGGAAAUGCUGAGCUUUUGGGCCGUUUCUGUUCACAUAACAGCAGCACCUCUGGAGAUAACAGCUUAUUUUCCUCUUUAGUACGACUUGCAUUCGUUCUGAUGGUUGGUAUGAUGUAUUCAGUAACAUUCUUCCCCCCAGCUGCAAUUGGCCACAGCAAAUGCAUUGUGAUGCACUCACUGAUGAUUUCAUGGCGUCAUCAUAGAAUCGCAACGUUGGAAGGAGCCCUGAGGGUCAUCCAGUCCAACCCCCUGCAAUGCAGGAUUCCCAACCGAUGCAGGAAUCUCAAUCCUAUGGUGAGACCUGCCCGGUUGAGCAGUUGAGGGUGCAGAGGAUCUCUGGCUGAGCCUGGAGCUUCCUGGAUCAGCCAGAGAUCUACGCCAGUGCAACUUGAUCACCCUGACUCAUCUGGGGCCGUUUUAGCAAAGUUUGCAAACAGCUGAGAAAGGGAGGCGAGAGAAGCAAGGAGGGCAAGGGGUUGUUUCAGUGACAAAAGGGAACCUGGAGAGAUGUGAGUGCCGGCAGCAAGCUGCCCUUUAAGCUUAUUUUUUCUAAAUAGCUCGGUGGGUGGCUGGUGCUUGUUCAUGAAAGGAAGGUUGACCUUCUCCAUGGAGGGGGUCACCGGGAGGCGCAAAGAGGGUCUUGCUGGCUCGUCCUCCGUGUCAAGCUUCUCAGAGGGGGGAAUUCUGAAAAACACCAAAAGGGCGCGAUUUGGGGGUCUCUUCUGAAACAAAGCUCUAUGGAUGUCUGUCUGCCGAAAGGCUGAGGUAAUAAAUCUCUCAGGGUCGGGCCAAAUUAAUUAAUUUUUUUUUAAAAAAAAUCACAGACUUGGUGGGAGGGUCAGGGAGGGUUUAAAUAGCUUAUGCAAAAGGUUGGCCUUGUAUUCUGAGAUGGAUUCCUGAUGCUCCUGCAGGGAGAAGGGAGUUGGUGAGUCCUGCUAGCAAAGGUGGAAAUUAAAACUAAUAUAAAUGCCAUUGAUAAUAAAGAAAACAUAGGCCUUGCAGCAGAACAAGGCAAGUGAGUGCUGAGGCUGCAAAGUGGGUUCUGAGAAGGAAAUCACAAUUCUUCCUUAAUGUGAAACUCCAGUCAAAUGUAAAGCCAGCAAAGCAGGGAAGAUAAGAGGCUAGCCUAGCUAUAUUUCUGCUGUGCUGAUUUUCUACGUAUUGGGAAUUUUAAAGAAAGAGCGUGGAGGAAACAUGUAAAAAUGGUAUAUCCCACCUGCAGUCAGAAAUGUUGCAGUCCAUUCACACCUCGCUGUACUGCUUGGAAGAUUUCUGAGAAGUUGAGUUGACUAUACCACUUGAGAUUGCAGAUGCGUGAAUCCCAUCAUUGUUCCCUGACAUUAGAAAAAGAAAAAUGAAAAUCCUUGUAAGAAGAGGACAGCACAGCAGGGAGAGAACUGGGCUAGGAACCUUUCUUCCCGGUGUGCUGUUUUUCUAAUGGCGUGGAAUUUUCACAUUAAUAAGCAACUGGGAACUGGAUUUCCUGUAUGCAGUCCAAAGCGGUACAGCAAGAAAAGCCCUGCUGGAGAAGAUUAAAAGCCUAUCUCGUCCACAGCAUCCUGUUGUUUCCCACUCCCUUAGUUCUGCUGCUUAUAUAAGCCAGGUCAUAGAUGGCAAGCUCAGUCUUAGCUCAGAGAACAUGAACAGAAGUAGGAAUAGAAAGCCAUUGGGGAGGAAGCAAGGGCACCUAAACCUUGUAACAAUAUUUGCAGAGCCAUGGGAAGGUCUGCUUAGCACACGGGGAACUGUAGGAAUCAGCUAGUCAUAAACCCAAAGUCAUCUAAGGCAUAAUUCACCAGCUUCUUCCUUACCCUUGGCAAGCUCCUGCAGCCAUCCCGUCAAAGCAUUUUAUUGUGACUUUCCAAGGAACAAACUGUUAAUUCUGGUGAUGCUCUGUUCUUCUUCCAGAAGUCAGAGGUGCCUCCCAGUGGCAGAAUGCAGGCUGAAGUGAAGCAAAGGAGGGAAACGUUUAUAUUAUCACCUGCUUUUUUCAUUAUAUUACAUGUGGUUUGGUGGCAUAUGGUGAAUGCAUUCUAAAUUCCAGGAGUUUGCUAAGAGCCAUAUUUAUUUCAAUAGCAACAGUAUUGCCUGACUUACUUGAGAACUGGACAUCGCAAUUUCACUACUUUGUUCUGAAAGUUGCAUACACGAACAUUUCUACUUUUUUAUUUCAAAAAAAUUAUAUCCCACUUUUUAAAAAAAACUUUCAGCAGUUUAUCUCUAAGCGAAGUGAGGUAUGAACAAGAAUCUAUUAUCUAGACGUGAAUUUUUCACCAUGAAUUGUUUAAAAAAGUAAAUAAUUCAACAUUUGUCACCAAUUGCUAUAAAAGUGUUUCAUUUCAGUUUUGGCUGAAUUGUGUUCACAAUCAUGCGCACUGAUAUGCAGCUUUUCUUACGCACUCAAAACAUUUAACAUAUUUGAGCAUUUACAGGCCAAGUAAGGUGGGCCUUUAAUGUUAUCCCAAUAUUGCCUCUGCAGGGAUGUGUCUCAACAAUGAUGUUUUGCCAUACAUAUCCUGGCCAACACACAGAACUGAUCAGGCAUCUCCUAGCAAAUACAUAAUGUGUGUGUUGGGGGGGGGGGUUUCUAUGCUAGGAGAAGAAGGAAAUUUUGGAACUCACAAGGGCAUAUUUUAAAGGUCUGGCAGCCUAUAUUUCCAUGCUUUGCUACAUAUUUCGCGAUUUAAAAUCUCUGCUAGGGUUCUGUUACCAAAGACUACUUGCCCCAAACUUGGUUCUUGGCAUCCAGGAAUUCUCUUUUAUAUCUAUAUUUAUUUUUUCCUUGCAAUCAUCAACAACUCCAGAAGGUUGGAUGUUCCAAGGCUGGAAGAUAACUUUUAGCAAUGGAAAGUUUGGGCAAACAAGAUGGAGAGGGCAGGAUGUCCUCUGUGCUCUGUUCCCUCCAGGCUAGAAUAGAAAUGGAAACAUCAUAACUUGCUCACUUUAAAACUGGACAGGGCGGAAAAUCCCAUGGAAAAUAUUAUCUGAAGAACCUUUGUACAUUGGCAGGACAGUGGACUCGAUGGACAAGAACAUUUUCCCUUCAUUUCUCAGUUCCUAAAAUAGGCAUGGUGGUUAUUUGUUUUUGUUUACCUCCCUCCCAUGAAAAAUGGCCUUUCAAUCAUAGGCUAGAUUUUCUUUUGGAUUUAUGAGGGGGGAAGUUGCUGAGGUGCGGGACACGUUUUUUCUGUCAUGUUCUGUUGUUGUUGCCUCUUGAUAUCUUCCACAACUCCCCUGAGGAUAGAUAGACCUAGGAAAAAUAAUCAAUUACAAGUGCAUUAGCUCUCCUUGACAUAUGAAAUCACCACUGCCCUAUGUCAGGCCCAGCUACGAAGCCUUUAAUUGGCAGGAGAAAACAUGGGUGGAUAAGCUUUUGGAAGGUUUCAUUCCAUGCCCUGCAUGCCUCUGUCCUGUGGGUAACCUAUAACCAGGGGUUGACCUUAAUAAGUAGUACAAAAACCAUGAUGUGAGCAUCUUCAAAUGAAAAACCAAAGCAAUUCCAUGUCUUGUCAUGCACAAGGUAAUAUGUAUAAUUUACAGUGGCGUGCUGAGCUUUGAGAACGAUGCAUGGAGACCUCUACCUUUUCAUAUUUUGGAGGACAAAGCCCCCCAUAGUAAGCGCUGAAUUAUUCUCUUUCUUACAACACACGUGAAAGUUAUAAAUGUCUACAUUUUUAUUCCUGCAGAGGUUCUUAAAUCUCCUAAUGCUAAUAUACGUCAAAACUGAGAACAUGCUGGUAACAUUGUGAGACUGUGUUCCAAGGAAGGCAGGUAAUGUUCUGAUAAUCCAAAUAAAUAUGGUUGUCAGGUAAGCCCCGGGAGUUAGUAGAAAUUCAGCACCCACCAAGCAAUUUUUUAAAAAUGCUAAUCUACUUUAAACAAACCUACCAUCCCCCCUCCGUUAUCUUUCUCCCUCUGUUUUCCUUCUGUCUCUCUCUAACCCCCCCCCCAAAACCCCUUCUAAUUAUCUAUUUCUCCUUCUCUUUCAAAACCUCUUUUAAAAGGAUAAUGAAGGGGGUGUUGCUGGUAUAACCUGCUUCAAGCCAUUCACAGGUCACAGGGCUGUCAGCACACCCAGGUGAAGACCUGUGCCACAGGGUAGUUACUAGUUUCCUGUAACACGUUAGGCAAGUUGCCAUGCGUUCUUGAUGUUUGCUGUAUUCCUGGUCUCAGAUCUUUUUAUCAGAAAGCCAAUGGAAAGGGAGAGGCCUGGUAUGUCCUUCCUCACAAUGAGAGUCUUGUCUAGAUGGACUUCUUUCGCUACCAAUAUUUUUUUGCUGAUCCUCAGAGUUCAGAUAUGCAAGGGCUUCUGGGUGUCCCAGACCAUAAAGUUUGUACGUUUGACUCGCCACACCCACCACAAAGGUAGGUUGGUGACAGCCAUUUACCUGCAGUCAAUCAGCUCUGCGUUCGGAACACACCUCAUUGUUGACAUGCUGAAACGGUGCGUACGUGCGUGAACCUCCAGGCCAUUCUGAGCCACAUAAAACGGCACGUAUGGUUUGUGACCAGCGACACCAUGUUCCUGAGCAUAAGCAUGCCCAGACCCCAUGCUAAAUUGAUUUACUAGCCAGUUGUUUCCUGUAUACAUGUGGGUGGAGCAUUAUGUGGGUGGCAAAUUUCAUUGUUCCAGUUAUGAGGUCUGAAUGUAAGCAUUCGUUGCCGUAAAGCCCUCAAGAAAGGACCGCAUGUGCAGACCAGACGAAACCCAGCCUCAAAUAGACACCCCAUAAAGUAGAAAAUAGUUCCAAGAGAAAGGUCAUGUGUCAGCUGAUUCCCUGGGUGUGGUGACCGAACCAUUCUGCUUUCAUGUUCCACCCAUUGCUGGCUUAAUCUCUGUUUGUGGCUGUUGACGUUGGUUUUCUCACAUGCUGCUAAAAAUAGCUACCCUUCCUCAAUGGGGAAUGGUAUAGUAAUUGACUGGAGAAAGAUUGUGAAUGUAAUCAGACUGCUGGUGUGUCUGAUAUGCUCCGGAGCCUGCAGUCGCUUUCAAAUAACCUUUCAUGCACAAUUCAAGAUGACAUUUAAAUUUUUAUUUUAGAGCUCAAAAUGGCUUGAGCUGCGAAGGUAACCCCAUCUCCCUAUCAGGCUUAAGCUCCUGAACAGGAACAAAAGUGCAAAGGUCAAGGUGAGAUAAGGCAAUGCUCAGAGGAAUGCAGCAAGUCUAGGAAAGCCGAGAGGAGACUGGAUGAGGUUCAGUGGGCUGAAGCUGAAUUUAUCAGUGUGCUGCUGUGUGCAGUUCUGCUAUCUGUGCAGAAAAGUUAAAAGGCAACAGAGAUGUGUCACUGUUUAUUGACUUAAUUUACCUUUCCACCCCACCUUUCUUCUACCAGGGAACUCAAAGUAGCAUCCAAGGUGGUCUCUUAUCCCAGCACCGACUGCAACUUAGCUUUAGCAAGAUAGUGGCCCCAUGUGCCUUCAGACCAUACCGUGGGAAUGAGAUUUCGUUGGUUUUCAUUGGCUUCCUUUGUUGGGUUCUGUGUUUAUACAGUGGUGCCCCGCAAGACGAAUGCCUCACAAG